rnacentral:tRNA from 1 species
GGAGAGGUGUCCGAGUGGUCGAAGGUGCACGAUUGGAAGUCGUGUAUGGUCAAAAGCCAUCGGGGGUUCGAAUCCCCCCCUCUCCG